CCGAGAAGAAAAAAAGUUAGGGCGCGGACUUCCGCAACUAGCGCUACUAGUAAGAAAGCUAAGCCUCUUUCAUCACAACCAAUGUGUUUGGAGGAAAAACAACAGCAGGAGGAAGAGCACGUCCGCGAAGUCACGCACCCCUGGGGACCCUAAACACUUUGCAAACACCAGUGAGGACGGUCAGACAAAGAGACAAAAGAAGCAGAGAAAGGAUUGCAGGAUCCUGGACCGGGCUGUUGAGGAUAGUCUGGUGGAGUUCUUCUGCGAAAACUAACUGCUGCUUUCUGGAUCUUCCAUAGUGCUUAUCCUCAUGAGGGUCGCAGGAGAGCUGGAGCCUAUCCCAGCUGUCAACGGGCAGGAUCCUGGCAAAGCUACCUUGGCAAAUCCAUCAAAGAAAAGAUAUGUUCAUCUUGAGAGUGCUACCACAAGUGGGUUAUGGUACCCACCCAACUUCCUUGGGGCAGAAUAAGACAGCUAUAGUAAAAGUGACCACUCCAAAUACAUCCUGAAGUGGAGCAUUCGGAAAGAUAUGCCAGUGCUGUAAUUUCCCUGCAAGACGAUCAAAGCAGUGGAACAGGUGGUUCACUGUCACCAUGAAGAACCCCAAGACUUUCAAAACCAAGACAUCUAGCAUCAACCUCGAGCCAUCCACCACCAAACAUGACCCUCUACCAUUCCUCCAAAGAGAGUUGGCCCAUAUAUUCCAAAUGUUGAAAGUUGGAUGGGUAACCCUUAAGGAAAAUAUCAAACAGAUCCUAAAGAGAAUCUGUCUUGAGAAACCACGAGGGGACCCUGAGUUAUGUACAAAGUGCGGCCACGUCAUGCCUGAAAUAUUCGCAUGAAAGAUGCGGUGGCAGUGGCAAGAAACAGAACGGGAGGAACAAGGAUGGACAUUAAAUAUGAGAGACUCAUAGUUAAAGUUCACAAAGUGGAAUAUUACAUUUUAAUUUGUUUGUAACAUAAAUGUUAAACAUGUAUUAUUGUCGGCUAAAUAACUUAAUUGUUUGUAAUUGUCUGUUGUUUGAUUGAAAAACAGUGUGGUUUCACACUGCAUAAUAAAGGUUUCAAUCUGUUUUAAUAGCUCAAUUUCCACGUUAAUGUAGGUUUGCAAAAACACAAAAUUCUUCAUAAAAAUGUUGUGAUGGGAAUUAAAUGCUGUAGCCUGAAUCUUUAAUGAGCCAUGUAGCUUCAAUGGAUGACACUGACCUGACCACAGUGCGUACAUCUGUUGCUCACAGUUGUCAGAGGGAGCGCUCACAGGCUUAGCUCUUUGCUCAGAUAUGAGGUGAGAGUUCUGAUGCAAUUACUUGUAAAAAUGUCCGUAUUAUGU